rnacentral:rRNA from 1 species
GAUGAACGCUGGCGGCGUGCCUAAUACAUGCAAGUCGAGCGAACAGACGAUGCUCUUGCUCCUCUGACGUUACCGGCGGACGGGUGAGUAACACGUGGAUAACCUACCUCUACGACUUGGAUAACUUCGGGAAACCGUAGCUAAUACCGGAUAAUAUAUUUAACCUCAUGGUUCAAUAGUGUAAGACGUUUUUGCUGUCCCUUCUAGAUGUCUCCUCGCCGCAUUAGCGAUUUGGUAAGGUAACGGCUUCCCAAGGCCACGAUGGGUAGCCGACCUGGGAGGGGGAAGGGCGACAGUGGGAGUGAGACACGGUACAGACACCGACGGGAGGCAGAGGUAGGGAAGCGUGGGAAAUGGGCGAAAGAUUGAAGGAGCAACGCAGCGUGAGUGAAGAAGGGCUGCGGAUCGUAAAACGCUGUUAUGAGGGAAGAACAAAUGUGUAAGUAACGAUGCACGUCUUGACGGUACCUAAACAGAAAGCAACGGCUAACUACGUG